ACACGCAUGACACACUGCAUAUCAAUAAGCGGAGGAAAAGAAACUAACUAGGAUUCCCUUAGUAACGGCGAGUGAAGCGGGAAGAGCUCAAAUUUGAAAUCUUCAAGGUUCUACCUUGACGAAUUGUAGUUUAAAGAAGUGUUUUCUGUUGGAGUUUUGGUAAAAGUUCUUUGGAAUAGGACAUCAUAGAGGGUGAGAAUCCCGUAUUUGACCAUUUCUUCCAGCUGUGUGAUACACUUUCAAAGAGUCGGAUUGUUUGGGAAUGCAGUCCAAAAUGGGUGGUAAAUUUCAUCUAAAGCUAAAUAUUGGCGAGAGACCGAUAGCGAACAAGUACCGUGAGGGAAAGAUGAAAAGAACUUUGAAAAGAGAGUUAAACAGUACGUGAAAUUGUCAAAAGGGAAGCGUUUGACACCAGUGUUGUUUUCUCGAAAAUCAAUUAAAAAUGGCCGGAUUUUGUGUUGUAUUGACUUUAUCAGCUUUCUGCACUUUUUUCUUGUCUUUUUUAAUGCACUUUUCGUUUAACAAGUCAACAUCAAUUUCUUUUGUUGUAAAAGAGUCAUUGGAAGGUGGCUUUCAUUUCGGUGAAAGUGUUUAUAGCCUUUGACUUCUGCAAUCGGAGAGAUUGAGGUCUGCAGCGUAGAUCCUUCGGGGUUAGAUACAUUUGUGCUAAGUUAUAGUUUUUCAUAGACAACUUGUUGACUAUGUUUAGUCAUGUAGCUUACUCGUAAGUGCUAUUUUACCUACGCUUAGGAUGUUGAAGACUCUACAGAGAUA
rnacentral:rRNA from 1 species